AGGAAAUUAAUUAGAGGAAAUAUUUUAAUAUUGCUAUUUGCCCUUUCUCUAUAAUAGAAGUGUCAGAGAUGAAAGAAAAUUAGUAAAAUGUAUAUGAAAAUCUCCCUCCUAUCAAAGUCUGGGGCAUGCUGCAGACCCAGAGUCAAGUUCCUGCCCACCUGCGUGGGCCUCGAAAUCGUGCAAGACCGAGACCAGCUACCCCACCCCUGUCAAGCCCUACAAGGCGGGGGGCACAACCUCAGGUCCCCCGGCCCCGGCGUGAGGGUGCGAGGGCAUGAUGACCAUUUGCAUAGUAGGUCUUUAUUAUAUAGGAUAUAGUCAUGAGCAAGAAAGAUGUAAUCCUUUGUUGCUUUCUUGGAGUUUAUUAUCUAGGAAGCACUACCCAUAUCUGUGAUGAUGGAAAUGUUUUGUCUCUAUGUUGUCCAGUGCAGUAGCCAUGAGCCACAUGUGGCUAUUGAACAUUUGAAAUGUGCCUACUGCAACUGAAGAGCUGAAUCUUUAAUUUAAUUUUAAUGAAUUUAAAUUUCAAUAGUGACACCUGGUUAAUGAUUACUGUAUUAUACAGCGCAAGUCUCAAGUAUUAAGUUCCAAACCUGGUGGUCCAUCAUAACCACUGGGGACCUUUAAAAAGUUCAGAUGU